UAAAACUGGAUACUGGAAUAGAGAGGUAGCAAACUUCUCUUCUUCUUUCUCUCUAUAUUUCCCUCUAUAAUAAAUGUGUUAUAGCUUUAGUGAAUUGGUGAGAAAUGAAGGAAGAAUGAGCUUCUAUUUAUAGGAAAAUAUAGUUUCGAUAAUUGCACAUUUUGGGGUUCGAAAUAUUACAGUACAAUACCUCAAACUUUUCUUUUAUUUUUAAUUUAGUCCUGCAAGUAUUAUCAAUCUUG
rnacentral:lncRNA from 1 species